rnacentral:rRNA from 1 species
GAGUUUGAUCAUGGCUCAGAGCGAACGCUGGCGGCAUGCUUAACACAUGCAAGCCGCACGGGGGGUUUCGGUCCUUCAGUGGCGGACGGGUGGAGUAUCGCGUAGGGAUUUAUCGUUGGGUGGGGGAGUAACUGCGGGAAACUGCGGCUAAUACCGCAUGACGCCUUUGGGCCAAAGCCUGUGAGGGUGCCUGAUGAGGAGCCUGCGUCCGAUUAGUUAGUUGGUUGGGUAAUGGCUGACCAAGGCGAUGAUCGGUAGCUGGUCUGAGAGGAUGAUCAGCCACACUGGGACUGAGACACGGCCCAGACUCCUACGGGAGGCAGCAGUGGGGAAGUAUUGGACAAUGGGCGCAAGCCUGAUCCAGCAAUGCCGCGUGGAUGAAGAAGGUCUUCGGAUUGUAAAGUCCUUUCGGCGGGGACGAUGAUGACGGUACCCGCAGAAGAAG